UUGAACUAGUCGCUCGAGACGUUCAACCCCGAGGGCAGUUUGGUGGAUGCGGCGGACGGCUCGCGGGUAACCAUCUACAACUCCGAGUAUAUCGAUUGCAUCAACGUUCUCAACGGCUGCACCGACAUCCCGAGUGAAUUGACGCGUAAUCAAACUUAAUCGGCGUGAACUCGUUCCGCAAGACGCGAAGGGCCGGCAACCAGAACCAGCUGGUGAUGUCAGGGACGUCUUUGCCGAUCGAAGACGGACUGGCCGACGCUGAGCAGUGUAAUUUUCGGCAAGCAGCGGCCGCCGCUGGCCAUCUGGUUACAUUCGACUCGAACCGUCAGAUCUCGGACAUGCUUCACCUGCGACCUGCAAAGUCACUCGAGAGGAUGGUUCGGCGGAGGCGGUGGACGGCUCGCGGGAAACCAUCUACAACUACGAGAGGGUUGAGUGAGUCGUUGAGGUAAUCCACGCGAGCUUGCACAAGUGAUCGGCAAAGAAUUGCCGCUGCCGAGCCAGUGGAAUCGGAUACACUGCUGAUACAACCAGAAACGCCAUGUUACCAGCUCAGAAAGACACCAGCUCGGAGCAGCAGCCGCGCAUUCAGUGAAAACUUGAAGCAGCAUUUGAAAGUGUAAUUGUAGUCGUGUUCAGGUUCAGGCUUCGCUUAAAAAUUACCAAAUCUAAAAUAAAAUUUAUUUAAUUAAAUAA